UCACAAAUAUUUAGUUUUUUGUUCCAUAGUGUAUUGUGGUAUAAAUUUCGGCUGUCAGUGUUUAUUUUGUUCUGUAUAUAAGUUACAAUUAUUUCAAUGUUUUUGUUGUAUGACAUUUAUGCCAUUCUUUACAUUGUUAAAGGAACUGAUACCGGGUGACGAUUUAUUUGCAUGUCUAACUGCAGCUGCAGGAAUGUAAGUUCUGUAUUCCUGAUUGCACAUUGUGAUUAUCAGAAGUAUGUGCGAUUGUAUAUCGUUUAAACUAUACAAUGUUGCAAUUUAUACAGAUUUUGCAAAGGUAGUUCAGUGUAAUGUAAGUGUGAUUAGCGUUGGAUCAUACAUAUAUGUACGCAGAUUUAGAAACAAUUAGGAGGAUCCCGAAAAUAAAUGAUUUAUUUUAAAAAUAUUAUUCCAAGGCUUUUGUCGCAGUUUGAUGGUCACGAACAUCUAAGUGAGGCAAAGGAAACCGACAGACAACAGCAAUGAAAAAAACAACAAUAUAAAGUGCAUAAAUGCAACAUACAAAAUUUUUACUGUUAAGUCCAGUGAGCUGGCAGUCAAGUCAUGAAUGAUGUCAAAAUGCUUUGUAUUUUACCCACUACUGCCAUUAAAUAUGAUUGUAUGCCUCUCAACUGCCUGUCUGUUUAUAUAUCUGUCUAGCUUUUGUUUAUGUCAGUCAAGCCAUAAUUCUUCGAUAUAAAACUUGGCAAUAUCUGUUUAAUGCAACUUAUCUGUAACUAUCUGUCUGAGAGAUUGACUUAAUGUCAUCUAUACUUUUAAAUAUAUUAUAGCAAUUGUUAAUCG